AUGACCCCAAAUCCCGGGAAUUCCCAUCCCAAUGACCCCAAAUCUUGGGAAUUCCCAUCCCAACAACCCCAAAUCUUGGGAAUUCCCAUCCCAACAACCCCAAAUCCCGGGAAUUCCCAUCCCAAAGCCCCCAAAUCUUGGGAAUUCCCAUCCCAACGACCCCAAAUCCCGGGAAUUCCCAUCCCAAAGCCCCUCACCUUCUGCUUGGGCGCCACCCUGGCGAAGACGCGGAUGUGCGGGAUGAGCCGGAGGAGCCGAUCCCGAUCCCGGAGCCGGAGCUGCUCCAGCCCCUCCCCCGUCAGGCACAGCUCGAAGGGAUCCGUCAGAUCCCGCAGGGAAUCCGGGAAUGCCGGGAGAGCCACGGAUCCGUCCCGGGAUCGCCACUGCCAGGGCAGCCCUGCGGGAACGGGAAUUCCAUGGGAAUUCCAUGGGAAUGCCGGGAUCACCGCUGCCAGGGCAGCCCUGUGGGAAUGGGAAUUCCAUGGGAAUUCCAUGGGAAUGCCGGGAUCGCCGCUGCCAGGGCAGCCCCGCGGGAACGGGAACGGAUCCGGGGGAGAUUCCGGAGCCGAUUCCAACCCAUCUCCAUUCCCAGCUCCUCAAAUCCCAGAAUCCCAGGCAUUCCCAACAUUCCCGGUCUCAUUCCACAUCCCCAGAAUUCCUCAAAUCCCAGAACCCCGUGGGCUUCCACUGUUCCCAAUCCCAAUAUUCCCAAUAUUCCCAAUAUUCCCAUUAUUCCCAAUCCCGACAUUCCCGACAUUCCUGACAUUCCCGGUACCAGGUUCCGGUUCCUGCAGGAUCAGGACGUUUUCCCGGCGCAGGAAGUGCAGCUCCCAUUCCCAAUCCCAUAAUUCCCAAUAUUCCCAAUAUUCCCAAUAUUCCCCCCGGUUCCUGCAGGAUCAGGACGAUUUCCCGGCGCAGGAAGUGCAGCUCCCAUUCCCAUCAUUCCCAUCAUUCCCAAUCCCGAUAUUCCCAAUAUUCCCAAUAUUCCCAUUAUUCCCAUCAUUCCCAAUCCCGACAUUCCCGACAUUCCCGGUACCGGGCUCGGGUUCCUGCAGGAUCAGGACGCUUUCCCGGCGCAGGAAGUGCAGCUCCCGCGCCACGUGGCACGCCGUCAGCGGGCUGUCCCCGGUGAUCAUCACCACCUGCAACACCGGAAUCCCGGCAAUUCCCAAGAAUUCCCGGGAAAAUCCGCGUUUUCCCGCUUUUCCCAUGGCAUUUUCCCGCUUUUCCCAUGGGAUUUUCCCGCUUUUCCCAUGGCAUUUUCCCGCUUUUCAGCCUCAGUUCUUUUCCCCCCUCGUUUCAAUCUGGGAAUUUCUGAGUUUUCCACUUGGAUUUUUCUGGUUUUCCCUUUGGAAUUUUCUCUCUUUUCUACUUGGAAUUUUCUCUCUUUUCCCUUCGGAAUUUUCUCUUUUCUACUUGGAAUUUUCCCUCUUUUCCCUUUGGAAUUUUCCCUUUUCCCUUUGGAAUUUUCCCUCUUUUCCCUUUGGAAUUUUCCCUGUUUUCAGCCUGAAUUUUUUCCUCUUUUCCCAUUAGAAUUUUCCCUCUUUUCCCUUUCGAAUUUUUCCUCUUUUCAGCCCAGAAUUUUUCCAGGUUUUCAUCCUGGAAUUUCCCAGAUUUCCAGCUGGAAUUUUCCCACUCUCCAGUUUGAAUUUUUCCCAGUUUUCAGCCUCGGAUUUUCCCCUUGGAAUUUUCCUGGGUGUUCGACUGAAAUUCCCCAAUUUCCACUCUGGAAUUUUCCCUCUUUUCCAAGAGGGAUUUUCCCGAUUUUCAACCUGAAUUUUCCCCCCUUUUUCCACUUGGAAUUUUCCCGUUUUUCACCCCUGAAAAUUCCCAAUUUUCCCCCCUGGAAAUUCCCCCAUUUUCAACCCUCCCCAAAACCCGGGAAUUCCCGGAAUUCCCGGGAUUCCUCACGUGGUGGGAAGCGCUCUGGAUCUCUCGGAUCACGGCCUUGGAGUCGGCUUUCAGUGGGGAGGAGACCACGAUGAAUCCCACAAAUCUCAGGUCGCAUUCCAGGGAUUCCCUCUUCAUCUCCCGCACCUUUUCCAUGGAAAAAUCCGGGAUUCAGCAUUCCCAAGCCCCUUCAAAAGGCAAAUUCCCUCCUCC
ensembl:lncRNA